UACGUAGGGGGCAAGCGUUGUCCGGAUUUAUUGGGCGUAAAGAGCGUGUAGGCGGCUAGGUAGGUCCGUUGUGAAAACUCGAGGCUCAACCUCGAGACGUCGGCGGAAACCAUCUGGCUAGAGUCCGGAAGAGGAGAGUGGAAUUCCCGGUGUAGCGGUGAAAUGCGCAGAUAUCGGGAGGAACACCGGUGGCGAAGGCGGUUCUCUGGGCCUGACCUGACGCUGAGGAGCGAAAGCGUGGGGAGCGAACAGG
rnacentral:rRNA from 1 species